AAAACACCAAGAAAAAAGCCCUGUUUUAAUAUAAUCUGGAAGAUCAAAUUUGACUUGAUACUAUUUCUUUUCAAGUCAGUGAUUUUUAGAAAAUGUUUCAGCUACUGGCCUGGUUUGUUCACUCCAUUACCCUCACUGUUGAAGAUCGAGCUGUUUGGACAGGGCACGUGCCAUCCAAACCCAGCUGGCUCAUGUAGCAUCCUCAGGAUUUCUUCUCAAAUUUGCUGAAUGCUUGGUAAUCUGCUUUUGCAAUCAUCAUGGCAAGAAGUUGCCAGUUGAUGAGAAAUUUACAUGAUGCAAGAGAAGACCCCUACAUAGCAAUGAAAAUUUUCAUUGGUGACACCAAUCACUGUGGUGAGGUCUGAAAAGUGAAGCUGGGGAGACCUUGACACUGAGUGUUGCCCUGUGUUUCUCCAUAGUGUGCUUAAGGUGUAGAGAGCAAAAAUCACAAAGUACCGGGUCUCUGAGUAUCUGCAGUGAAUGAAAUAGUUCACAGAGGUCUAAAAUGCAACUGAUUGAAAAAAUAAAUGGUUUGAGGUUUGUUAAUGGAGCAAAUUGCUGGAAGCUUUGGGAUGAAGUACAUAGAGAUGCUCACUUUUUAUGUCACUUAGCAUUAGUUUAACACAGGACAGGCUAGAUGCACCAUGCUUUUUACAUGGGAUUGGCACUUUAAUGCUUUUAACCUCCUUCUCCUACCAGAGAAAAGUCUGCAUCAGCCACUGGCACUUACUGAAGCCUUGGGCUGUGGAGUGAACAUCCCCAGCUAAACAUUGAGGAACCUGAACAAAAUCAAAUGAAGCUUUUGCACCUUGUUAUUCAUUUUGUACUCAGUUUCUCAUCCCAUUAUGAAUUGGAAUAAUUUAAUUUAAAAAGGCAGCUGGUAAAACCAAGAACAUACUGAACUUGGCAUCAGUCCUCUUGUGCAAGUCUGGGACUCAUAAAAGACUUGGACACAGGAUGAAGCACCUUCAGCGAGAGCCCCUGGCUGCUUCCCAGGACAGCUGCAGGAAUGCUGCAGCCUCCUCUGCCAAACGAGGGUGUUGCAACAUGCAGCCACUCCUGAGCACAGAGGGUCUUUCCCACUAGCAGCUUUCUUCCAUGGAAAAAUGUGUUCCCAAAAGGGAAGACUGAGCCUGGGACCAGCCUGGGGGGUCAGAUAAGAUCUUUCAAAAUGCCACUCUUCAGCCCAGAGAUUGAAGAAGCCUUUGAUUAUGUCUGCUCUUUGGGACGCUUCACAGUUGCAGCACAUGGUGUUCUCCAAAGUCGUGUGUGUGACCAGAAGCAAGUGGGCACUUGGGGAGACAGCAAACCUCUCUUUAGUUCAUCCCUCAUGCUGUUAAAGAAAAUCCUGCUUCCAGUGCUUUCCACAGUGGUUCCACGAGCUCUUUCUGCCUCUUGCCACAGUGUUUGCAUGCCUCUUGUUCUGGAGGGGUACAAGGAAAGUUGAAGAAAUCCUUGCGAAAGGCAGGGAUUUUGGGCUCUUGGCAGGCCUGUAAGCAAGGCGGUUUCUGACAUUCCAGUUCUACCUUUGGAAAGUUUGUUGUCACAUUAUGUAGAAGGAGCUCUGCUUAUGAGGGAAUAGCUUGCUGCUCUUAAUUUAUGGAAAUACAUGGUGGGUCUGUACCUUCAGUGGUGGAUUCUAUGAACUUAGAGUUUCUUUAAAGUCUGAAAUUAAAGUGUAACUUUUAUUUUUC